CCAGAAUUCAGGCGUUCUCGGCCCGCGGACGCUGAGUGGGAGCUUCGGAGUACGCGGGGACCCACCCUUCCAUCUGGUAACUGAGAAAGCCAGGGGAAGGGACUUGCUAGGCUCACAGCCAGUGAUCCCUGCCCUGUUUCCUUAUGGGCAUGACGGUCAAACAUGGGGAGUGGGGCAGAACCUGUCACUGUCACGGUCCUGUUUACAGAGGAAGUCGCAGAAACCAGUGCGGUGGACGGUUCGCGGGCGUUGUCAGGCGCUGUCCCAGCUCACCGGCUCUGUGACCCUGGGAGAAUGGGAACUUCAUGAGAGCAGGGACGUGGGGGUGUCCUGCUCACCGGCGCCCGGAGCCCAGCUCUCCCUCCGGGCUCCGGGAGAGGCGGCCUCAGCCGUGUGCUGGUGCUGCCCUCUAGUGGCGCUGGGUGCCCAUGGCACCUGGCUUGCUCCUCCUCCCCAGGGGGUCUUUUCUUCUCCCACCCACCUGUCACCAGCCCCCAGGGCACGUCUCUGUGUGACUCUAGAGUGCAGGUGGAGGGACCUUGCCUCCUAGGAUUCAUCCCACCUGAAUUCCGAAGACUGAGAGACCCUCUCUGGUACCUGGUGUUUGAAUGGCCACCGUCACGGUUAAUAAAGACGAGUUUAGUAUCA